rnacentral:lncRNA from 10 species
AAAAAAGUUUCAGGGCCAGCCACUGCACCCGGCUAAACACUAUAUUUAAACAUCUGUUUCUUGAUUUAUCACCUUUUGGCAGUAUCUAUUGAUUACCCUCUCUCAAGAAUGAGAAAAUUAGCUCACUUUCCUUGAUUCUCCCUUCUCCCUCCUCCAACUACGAUUUUUUGUUAUUUCACAUUGUCAAGGCUUCCAAUACUUUCUGUUCUGCUAAUAUAAUUAGUUCUUUCAUUCUAAAAAUUGAAAACCAAUACACAGCAUUUUAAUUGUAUGUUUAUGAAAAAUCUUUCAAACAUCAAUUUCAAACAAACUUCAAACAAUUUCAAACUUUUAUUUUUUUUUCUAUGUUCUUCACUUCUGGAUCAUAUUCACCUGCCACCACCGCUUGCACCACAUGACAGUCUUUCUUGGAUUCUUUUUCACGUUGAUAGAGUACUCCCCCUCACAUAAUUUUUUCACAGAGCAUUAUAAACUUUCUGGUUCUCGCAUGUCUGAAAAUUUUUUUUUUUUUUUUUGAGAUGGAGUCUUGCUCUGUUGCCCAGGCUGGAGUGCAGUGGCGCAAUCUCGGCUCACUACAAGCUCCACCUCCCCAGUUCACGCCAUUCUCUCGCCUCAGCCU